rnacentral:lncRNA from 1 species
UAUUUUUUACAAAUUUUAAAAUUAUAGGUAUAAAACAGGCCCCACUUAUAAAAUAAACAAUGACAACAAAAAAGGCACACUCAUUCUAUUUAUUUAUUUAUUUAUUUAUUAUUAUUAUUAUUAUUAUUUUAUAGAAAUAGUAGGAGACUACACGAGAUAAGAAACCCCACAUGCAUCGCUUGAUGACUGACUCUGCCUGUUCAAGGGUUCAAUGUCUCAAUUCCCUUAUGCUGCAUCGAAUUCGAUGAGCACUUCAGAGAGAUUUGUGCUUGAAUAUUGUCAUCCAAAAUAUCCACUCCAAACAUUUAAAAGAGUUGUCGGUGGAACCCAUAGAAAUUUUACCAGGGAUGUCAUGGGCUUUAGACUGAUAAAAUCCAUGUGUUCUUACAAUAAUUUGUUGGCAUCAGAUGGAUUUUUCUUAUACCCUACUUAGAAAUGUUUAAAAGAUGAACAUGUAGAAGGAGAUGGUAAAUGACAAUGGAGUUGUG